UCAAGAUUUUUAAGAAAAUUGUAAAUCUUAUAUACCAGCAAAAACAUCUGUCGAAAAAUGGCAUGAUCAGAAUAGCUCGGCUUAUCAGUACGAUGAACCGUAAGAAAUAUCCUAAGUUUUUAGAAUCCUCAGAGACUAUACGUCGGAUCCGCCUCAAUAGCGGAAAGAUAUAGUCCGAACUGCAUGGCGACAUGCAG
rnacentral:autocatalytically_spliced_intron from 1 species